UGCACUUGUAGCCCAAUUGGUAAGAGGCGCCUAAUUCAGAAUUAGGAGGCUGUAGAUUCAAGUUCUGCCAGGUGCAU
rnacentral:tRNA from 1 species